rnacentral:rRNA from 1 species
UACGGAGGGUGCAAGCGUUAUCCGGAUUCACUGGGUUUAAAGGGAGCGUAGGUGGGUUGGUAAGUCAGUGGUGAAAUCCCUCAGCUUAACUGGGGAACUGCGUCUGAUACUGGAUGGCUUGGAUUCGGGAGAGGAAUGCGGAAUUCCAGGUGUAGCGGUGAAAUGCGUAGAUAUCUGGAGGAACACCGGUGGCGAAGGCGGCAUUCUGGACCGAUAUUGACGCUGAGGAGCGAAAGCCAGGGGAGCAAACGGG